GCCUGCUCAGAGUCCUGACCUCAACGUCAUAUUGAAUCCUAUGGAUUACGAAUGCUAUAUCGAACGAAGCGCAAGAUGUUCUGGUGGAGCUCGUCCAGAGCUGCGUCUCUCCUUCGUAGACCAUCCACAUCUCCCAAGUCGCAAGGAAAAACCGCGUCGGGUGGAACGACGAGGGCAGAAGCCCCUGGAGGGGGAGACACCAGUCCAAGAGAAAACAAAACGUACAAUAAAACAACGUAGUCUCACAAUAUCUGAAUCAGGUUUUUCUACAAAAUAAACCGCAUGAUGUAACAAUAGCAUUUAUCAUUAUCAUGGUGGGAAUUAUCAGAGGGAAGUUGGUGGGUAUAAUAUAGUCCAUGUUGGCUGUAUUCAUUAGGUGUGUUGGUUCUGUUAAAUCAUGUUGACUUAAGUUGUAGAGUUUGGGUCUUUGCUUCAUUUUGCUGCCAGUGUUCAUUUCUAUCCUAUGACCCUUUUUAUGUAUAGAAAAGUGUCACACAAAGAACACAAUGUUGAAUAUGAAGAGGAAUAUGUUAUACAAUUAUAUUCAUUCUAAGAAUCACAGUAUUAAAACUGCAAAUCUAAAAUUAUGGUUUAAAAUGAUCAAAUUGUAAAAAAAUAUAUAUAUUUGUUUAGCCCGCUUUCAAGAUUGUUUCCCCAGAAAGGAACUGGCUGAUUUCAUCUCGGCCCAGAUGACUCGGUUUGCCAGUUUGUGAAAUUCAGAACCGAGUUGUAAGCGAUUCAAAAACGUAUUUUUCUGAAAGAUGAAUGAUUUUGGUAAAUAAAACAUCUGAACUGGGUCCAGCAUCCAGGGGUUAGUGUAUUCCUUUAAAGUCUAACACCUACAGGUUUACCCUAACGGGGAAUGAUCGUAAUUUAAAGAGCAAUUAAAGUUUAGUAAAUGUUUGGUUUUGUCGUAGCUUCAUAGACACAUAAAGUAUUUUUUGGACAAUUUCAGGAGCCCAAUGUGUGCAGUUAAAGGAUUAUCAGUUCAAUUUAAUGUCACCUAAGUGCAUUUUCACUAUUCUUGACCAGAAUAUUGAAUAAGUGUUUAUAUCUGCAUAAAAAUAAGUAUGCGCAAGGUCGGUUUUUGUGUUUCUAAACAUAAAAAAACAUUUUCUAAAA